AAUAUGGUCAGGGAAGAGAGAGGCACAAGAGAGCCUGUUUGCCUGGGAGUGCAUGUUUCAAAUGCUUAGCUGCCUAUAAAGCUGUAACAGUUUAGCCUGUGGUCACUGAGGAAGAAUAUGUUAGCCUCGUAGUGACCAUGUGGAAGUCCUGACCUCGAUUGCAGACUUGACCUCUGGAUGUGACAAGGUGAGGCUCUGUGUUCACUGACACAUCCCCUUCCUUCACCCGGCUCAUGAAAAGAAAUUGCUGAAUCAGCGAAUAGAGUGAACGAACAAUCAAGAUGAGAUGGCUGCUGCUGAUGUGACUCUCUAGGUCAUUACCUUUCUUCCUGCUGCAAAUGCUGCAUGACACUAAGCUUUCAGGAUCUAGAAGCAGACUACAAAAAAAGAGAAGAAAUUCACUCUGAAGACUGAAGAAACACUAGGCUGAUUUUGUUUCUGAAAUACACUCUGUAACACUUCACUAAUUCUAUGAAUCUGUUGCAAAAAGAAUCAAACCAGGACAAAGUUCAAGAGAUAACUGGUCAAAUGUUUAGGAAUGUCUAUGUCCACCAAGAAUAUGGAACCAUUAAUGCCAUGCUUCAGGUAAAUUUGUUACAAAAUUUAGUCUUCAAUAAAUUAGUCUCUGCAAAUGAUUUACCAUUGCUCUACAUUAGUAAGCUGAAUGUUUCACUAACAAAUAAGAAAAUAAAAUAUUUCAUGUUUUUACAGCUAACAACUUAGUAAUACCUACUCAGAGUACAUACUUCUUUAUGUACCCAUAUGAACAUACAAUGCUAUGGAAUGUAAAGAAGUAUGUAUUUUUGGUAGGCAAUAAACCACCAAGAGAGAAUUAAACUGCAGCUAACAGAAGCUCUUGCUUCUUUCCACAUAAAUGACCUUCAUAAGGUAAAUUAACUAGUCAUGAACAGAUGGCCUUUGGCAAUAUCAACACCAAAAAAAAAAAAGGCUAUCUGCUACUUAUAGAUAGAAACUAAACUAAAUAUCCCUAAGGUUUUUAUUUCAUGAAGAAAAAGAAGUUCCAGUGAAGCAGAUUUCAAUUAUCAUGAAAUUCCUUUUAAAUUAUCUAAGUUUAAAACAUAUAUCUUACAUUUUUAAAUUAAGUACUCUCAUUAUUAAAAUUUGACUACAAAAGGGACAAAAGUAUUACUAGCACAAAAGAAUGAGGAAUACACAUGACCUAUUUUCUGUCUCUACAAUUUGAUCUCAGUGGGGCUCACUUAUUUGUAUAGAAAAAUAAGAGAGUAAGAGCUGGCUUCAUUCACAUAAUAAGCUAUUUCUUCACAUUUUGAUACAUGUAUAAUCUAUUAAUAUUAGAGGAAUUUCUGAACUGAAAAGUUUUGUUGUUUUAAAAAGGUUUUCCUUUUUGACAGCUAUAAUCAUAAUUAUAAUUCUUAAAGACUAUCUUUUAAGUAAGACUCUACUGUAAAAAAAAAAAAAAAAAAAGUGGCCCUUGUCCUUCUCAAGUUCAUCAGGGUCUUAACCCAAUCUCUACUUUAAAUGUGAAGUUAAACUUAAAAUUAAUUAAAAUGUAAGAUUUAAGCAUGAAAAAUGAUAAAAUUCUGGGUCACAGUAUAUUGGUAACAGACUACCAAAUAUUUAAAAGAAAUUAAUUUAUUAUCUGUAUUAUCUUUGAAUUUGCUUCUCCAAAGGGGGCAUGUAAAAUGAAGGCACUAUAGUCAAGAACCAAUUUAUAUAGAUAGAAUAACUGUUUUUAUUGGUACUAUGUAAUUACAAUUCAGUUUCUCUAAACAUGAUCAAUCCAUUGUUUAUGUUAGAAACAUCAAAAUACUUAAUUUCACACAGUUUGUAUAUUAUUUAUUUUAAAAUUCCUAAUAAUGCUGUUGGCAAAAUUUAUAAGCAGUACUUGUUUUAAGCUACUGACAGUUAAAAAAAAAAAAAGAAAUAGUAGUACUCAUGUAUUCUAACCAUUUCUUACUAAACAUAUUAUUUCAACUGAAAUAUUUGCACAUGUAUAAAAAGCAUAUUUUAAAUUUUUUGUAUCAGAAAUUGAAUAGAAAUGACUAUACAUUUAACUAUAGUUCAUUUUCUCUCUGUUUAAUAAGACAACUAGUUAACAGAAAGAUGAUUUUCAUUUUAUCAGCAGAUUAUAAAGAAUGAUAAUGACUGUUAUACACGGCAUCAUAUAUGUUACUGCAUGUUUACUGGAAAUUAUAAAAGACACCUAAUUUUAAAGUUCUGUAUUUUCAAAGAAAUUAGUUCAAAGCUUAAUUCACAUAAACAUAGCUCUUCUGAUCAUCCACAAAAUGGAAUGGCCAUGAUUCAUAUUCAAUUUAGGAAGUUUACCUGUACGGGUCCUAAAUACCAAGAACUCAAAUUAUAUACCUCAAAAGUAGAGGUUCUUCCAUAAAACUACUCAAAGGGUAUUACUCUACUUGUGUUUUAUAAUGAACAAUUAAUUAUAUUGGUCUUCUAUAGGUAUACAAGUUGUUUAAUAAUCCUUCUUAACCAUCCCAGCAACUAAGAAUCUCUUUGCUAUAAUAUUAAGACUAUAUAAAUAAUCCUUAGAAAAUAAAAUGACAGGCUUUCAUUUUCAAAAGUAAAAUUAUAUACUGAUUCUGGUGCUUACAAAUUUAACUUAACAUAUCUAAGAGUAUUUUCAAUCACUCAAAAAUGUCACAUCUAUCACUUAGAUCAGCUGUUCAUUUUUAACUGAGUACAUAUUAAACUCUGGGCAUCUGCUGACACUGGUAUAACUCAAAUUCAACUGUCUCCCUGACAGGGAUAACAGAUGCUGACAUUAUCAAAUGUUGUACUAUUUUUUUCCCAUGGCCUCUCCUUGCCCCGAUAUGGCCAGUAUAUGCAACUGAACUGCCAUCCAAAAGCACACUUGAGCAACUGGAUCUGCUAAACAGCUCCCAUAUAACUAGUAAAAAUAGAAGCCAGUGUUAUUGCUAUCUUCAGCACUUAAGUUCAAGCAGUUUAACACCUGUUUCACUUCUACUAGAAUAAAUGAUGAAAAAGAAUUGUAGUUACAUUAAUUUCACCAGCAGCAUGACACUUAACCAACAGAUGCAAAAUAUACUUAAUAUAAGAAUCAUUUGCAUAUUGCCUGAAUUAGUGUUGACUUCCCAGUUUAGUUUAAAACAGUAACUGUAAGGAAUACUUCUCUACUCUAUUUUUCUGAGAGCACUUAACUUUAUAGGCAAAUUAUAAUUUAUCAAACUUUUAUUUUAUGCAAGUAUUUUUCAAAAAGCACACCUCCCAGGAUAUUGAAAUUAACAGUAAAACCACAUUAUAACAAACAUUUACUCUGAUUUUUCAAGUAUUAUUCACACAAUAGAUUUUAAUACUUGUAUUCAUGGAUUGCAGCUAACCACCAUAAGUCAAUGUAUUACUAAGUCGAUAAUGAGAAGUAACUAGGCAAUCUGUACCCAAAAUGACAAAGAACUUAGUCAAGGAAAUAGAUCUUUAAAAGGGUUAAAUUACUAACCUAUGAUUAGUAACACUACGUAAGCAAAAACAAAGAAAAACUGGCAUGCAUGGUAGUUCCUUUCAACACAAGUCCAAGCAAUACACUGAAUACACAUGUGAUCUAUUUAUAAAUCAAAGGGCAGAGGUACUUGCUUAAGGCCACUGAUCCACCUACUGUCAACAAUUUGUUAUUAGUCCUCAACUAUAAUGCUAAGAAGGGAGUGACUAACAGAACUCUUCCCCAACCUAUUAGAUUUACUUAAGUAAUCUAGCUUACUGCCUAGUGAUAAAUGGAAAACACUACUCUAAAAUACAUCAAGGUCUAUUUGUUCCUUUAAAUACUAUUGGUUUUGAAACAGCUUAUUGUCUACAUUUAAGAAUUAUCGUAAGAUUUCAGCUGUGGACAAGAUUAGAAAAAGAAAAAGAAUCAAGCAAAGAUGUUAAAAAUAAAGAUGUACAUUGAUCAUUCCUUAAUGCAGUAAUGUGUUAAAAGGAAAAGACUUUUAAACCAUUAAGUGUAGGAAAGACUAGGAAAGAGACUUCAGAAUGGAAAAUUUGGUAUUUAGUGACUAAAGCAGUGGUAUGUAAUUUCUAACACUUGUAGAAGGUCCAUGAUUGUAAUUUUACCAAUGAAAAGCAUUUAACUGUUUUGGAUCCCAAACUAGUAGCCCUACAAUGCUUUGCUAGAGCUGGUAAAAUGGAACCAAAUCGCCUCUUCAAUGGAUUUGGUCCCCUUCAACCAGCUGUAGCUAUGCAUUGAUUACUACAGGACAACCUACAUUUUCAUUUGUGAAUAACAAUUACUUGUCAACUAAUUUCAACUUAUUUAAAUUAUUCAGACUGUGAUUAAAAUCAAAUAACUUGUUACUGUUAAUUCUACCUGGAAAAGCUAGACUGGUUGAAGAUGUUUAUAAAAACCAUUAUGAAAAAUGUGUGGAUGACUUAAGGAUUUCAAAUAAAAAUUUUACUUAUAA